rnacentral:misc_RNA from 1 species
GAUGAAGAACGCAGCGAAAUGCGAUAAGUAAUGUGAAUUGCAGAAUUCAGUGAAUCAUCGAAUCUUUGAACGCACAUUGCGCCCGCCAGUAUUCUGGCGGGCAUGCCUGUCUGAGCGUCAUUUCAACCCUCAUGCCCCUAGGGCGUGGUGUUGGGGAUCGGCCAAAGCCCGCGAGGGACGGCCGGCCCCUAAAUCUAGUGGCGGACCCGUCGUGGCCUCCUCUGCGAAGUAGUGAUAUUCCGCAUCGGAGAGCGAUGAGCCCCUGCCGUUAAACCCCCAACUUGCCAAGGUUGACCUCAGAUCAGGUAGGAAUACCCGCUGAACUUAAGCAUAUCAAUAAGCGGAGGA